rnacentral:rRNA from 1 species
GAUGAACGCUAGCUACAGGCUUAACACAUGCAAGUCGAGGGGCAGCACAGUGUAGCAAUACACGGGUGGCGACCGGCGCACGGGUGCGUAACGCGUAUCCAACCUUCCCGGUUACUCUGGGGAUAGCCUUCCGAAAGGGAGAUUAAUACCGGAUGGUGUUCAAAUGUCGCAUGUUAUUUGAACUAAAGAUUUAUCGGUAACGGAUGGGGAUGCGUACCAUUAGAUAGUAGGCGGGGUAACGGCCCACCUAGUCUACGAUGGUUAGGGGUUCUGAGAGGAAGGUCCCCCACACUGGAACUGAGACACGGUCCAGACUCCUACGGGAGGCAGCAGUGAGGAAUAUUGGUCAAUGGCCGUAAGGCUGAACCAGCCAAGU